rnacentral:rRNA from 1 species
GUAGCGGCGAGCGAAACGGGAAGAGCCCAAACCAACAAGCUUGCUUGUUGGGGUUGUAGGACACUCUAUACGGAGUUACAAAGGACGACAUUAGACGAAUCAUCUGGAAAGAUGAAUCAAAGAAGGUAAUAAUCCUGUAGUCGAAAAUGUUGUCUCUCUUGAGUGGAUCCUGAGUACGACGGAGCACGUGAAAUUCCGUCGGAAUCUGGGAGGACCAUCUCCUAAGGCUAAAUACUCUCUAGUGACCGAUAGUGAACCAGUACCGUGAGGGAAAGGUGAAAAGCACCCCGGAAGGGGAGUGAAAUAGAACCUGAAACCGUGUGCUUACAAGUAGUCAGAGCCCGUUAAUGGGUGAUGGCGUGCCUUUUGUAGAAUGAACCGGCGAGUUACGAUUUGAUGCAAGGUUAAGCAGUAAAUGUGGAGCCGUAGCGAAAGCGAGUCU